rnacentral:tRNA from 1 species
GGGGUAAUAGCUCAGUGGUAGAGCGCUUGCCUAGGAAGCGCAAGGCCCUGGGUUCGGUCCCCAGCUCCG